GCUUUGCUAUUUUAAAGACAAAGUUUGGGCUCAGCUCCUAGGCCUUCUUCCCCGAAGGCCCUAGGACUGGACUUCUCUGUUGGAAUCCACGGUAGGCAGACAGGCGGCUGCGUUGCCAGAUGGGAAACAGAGCCUUUAACAAAGGGCUGCAAACGCCAGCACUUCAAAAGGAUCUGACCUGGCAGUCUAUUAGCAGGGGCAGCUGCUUUGAUAGAAUUCUGGAACCACCAACGCUGUCAAAACCUGCACUGCUCUCGGGUAUUGCACACUCGCUUGUAAAAACAGCAGAAAACAUCAGAGAAAUACUCCCCAAACAUCCAUUUGUCAGCCCUUUAGAAAGCAUGAAUCCUGCUCUCUUGGGCCAUUGAUCUCCUCCUUCGUUUCCUCUUGGAAAGCAGAGGCUGCUUCUGGAGGACAGUGUGCCGGAGUGUGCUUUAAGAGAUACAAAUGACAACAGAGCCUUUGUAUGCUUGCUCUGAUGCUGAGGGUUUGAGGGUUUGCAAUGGCUCGUCCAUGCAAAAGUACCAGUGCAUUUCCGUUUUUGCCUUGGGCCGGAACUGCACAUACCCCACGUCUCUGCUUCCCACGUGCAAACCUGCAGGCUCUGAUGAUUCGGGCACCAAGUAGUCAUGGGGGAGGCUCCCAGGAGGGUCAGUGGUAAAGUCACCUCGGGGAGAAAAUUGUUAUAAAUGAAGAUUCCUAGGCCAGAUGGGGGCCUCAGAGCAAACUUGCAGAAGGACGGACCGGAGACUGUUUUUUUGACGGUCCGAAAUAACUUGAAAUUAGUAUAAGAGAUGCAACUGACGUAACUGUGUGCAAGAUGUGGGAAUGAUGGGGCUUUUAGGGGAGAUAGUGGGGUUCGUGGGGUCCAGAGCCGACGGCCAGGAAAGAAUUCUUGAAAACGUCUUUGGUGCAAAAUGGUGAUCUUGUUAAAGCACGGGGACAGGACCCGUGGGCAGGAAGAGCUGCCCCGGGGCCUUGAGAGACUAGUUAUAUACUAUGGGGCUGCCGGAGGUGAAGUCCAGGGGAAGCUUCCAGUGAGAUUUUUAUAUGCUAAAGGAGACUCACAGGAUUUUGGAGGCCUAGCUAUUGUCAAGCUAGGGUUGUUUUUCCCUCUAGCAAAGCAUUAGCAUUAAGACAGUAAGGAGUUCCCGGAGAAACGUUUUACUCUGCUGGCCUCAAGUAUUUGUCAAUGGGCUACAGGUUCUAAGGAAAUUUAGUUCUAUCUGCCAUUUCCGUCUGCCUUUGUUCGUUACUACGGAGAGUGAUCUCUAUCAGUUCACCAUUUGUUUUUCCCCUUUCCUUUGUUCUUGGGCAGCCGGGAGUGCACACAUAUCCCCCCUGGUGGUGGUGGUGGGGGGGGGGGGGGGCUGUCAGCUUGCCUUAUGCGUCCAGAAACAUCUGGAAGUACUGCAGAUGUGCGACCUGCAAAGAUGAUCCCGCCAAGCCACAGUCAGCUGAGCCUGAACACCGAUGUAUCUGUGCGGUAACAAUAGGGCCUUUACGUAUGUGAAGUUCAUUUUUGCAUCCACGCUCCCUCCUUUUCUCCCUCCCUCCCAGCUUACCAUCUGGAUUCCACCUUGCACUUUCCGCCUGGGCUGCCCACGGAAGGUUGUCUCGGCUUUACCUUUGCUCUGCCAUUCACGACCUGCCCGCCAUCCCGCUUGAUCCGCUACGCUAACCUCUGGAAGCGGCUCGGGGGGUUUCUCUCACAGACAGCUCUUCUCACGAUGCUACUGAAAAGCAGAUUCUAAUUCUGCCUAUCGGGAUGUCUGGGUGAGGCCAUGCAUUUCUAGCAAGCUUCCAGAGAUGUGGAUGCUGCUGGUCAAUGGCUCCUACUUGGAGCAGCAAGGUCCUGGAGCUUGUAUCUCAACCUGAAAAGGAAAGGAACAACCAGGCCAUACUUCAGUGUGGGGAGGGCUUCGUUCAAAAGAGCAGAGAAACUGAUCAACGUCCAGCUAAGCCAAAGAGCAUUCUGAAUGCCAGUGACGAAGCAGGGAUGGAGGCAUGAGGAUGUGCAGUCAAGCUGAAGUAAUUCUACAAUCCUUCAUGGUAAGAAACAAUUAUUCUUACAUUUACAUGUCUGAAGACAUCUCUCUAUAAUGCCAGCUUUUCAGUUCAAUCUCCUUAUUCUGUAUGCUGACAUUUGGAGCUUUCAGCUCAAAAAGAAAAAGAGGGUUUUUUUUUUUUAACAUUUAUUUAUUAUUGAGAGACAGAGAGACACAGAGCGUGAGC